AAGAGUUUGAUCCUGGCUCAGGAUUAACGCUGGCGGCGCGCCUAAUACAUGCAAGUCGAACGGAAACCUUCGGGUUUUAGUGGCGAACGGGUGAGUAACACGUAAGCAACCUGCCUUUAAGACGUGGAUAACAAUUGGAAACAGUUGCUAAGACAGGAUAGGAAAUUAAGAGGCAUCUUUUAAUUUUUAAAAGACCUUUUUCGAAAGGUAUACUUAAAGAGGGGCUUGCGCCACAUUAGUUAGUUGGUAAGGUAAAGGCUUACCAAGACGAUGAUGUGUAGCUGGACUGAGAGGUCGAACAGCCACAUUGGGACUGAGACACGGCCCAAACUCCUACGGGAGGCAGCAGUAAGGAAUUUUUGGCAAUGGAGGAAACUCUGACCGAGCGACGUCGCGUGAACAAUGAAGUACUUCGGUAUGUAAAGUUCUUUUAUUGAAAAAGAAAAAAUAGUGGAAAAACUAUCUUGACAUUAUUCAAUGAAUAAGCCCCGGCUAAUUAUGUGCCAGCAGCCGCGGUAAUACAUAAGGGGCGAGCGUUAUCCGGAAUUAUUGGGCGUAAAGGGUGCGUAGGCGGUUUGAUAAGUCUAUAGUUUAAAUGCAGUGCUUAACGCUGUAGCGCUAUAGAAACUGUCUGACUAGAGUUAGAUAGAGGCAAGCGGAAUUCCAUGUGUAGCGGUAAAAUGCGUAAAUAUAUGGAGGAACACCAGAGGCGUAGGCGGCUUGCUGGGUCUUAACUGACGCUGAGGCACGAAAGCGUGGGGAGCAAACAGGAUUAGAUACCCUGGUAGUCCACGCCGUAAACGAUGAGUACUAAGUGUCGGGUUUCGGCUCGGUACUGAAGUUAACACAUUAAGUACUCCGCCUGAGUAGUACGUACGCAAGUAUGAAACUUAAAGGAAUUGACGGGACCCCGCACAAGCGGUGGAUCAUGUUGUUUAAUUCGAAGAUACACGAAAAACCUUACCAGGUCUUGACAUAAUUUUGCGACAUUAUAGAAAUAUAAUGAAGGUUAUCAGAAUUACAGGUGGUGCAUGGUUGUCGUCAGCUCGUGUCGUGAGAUGUUAGGUUAAGUCCUAAAACGAGCGCAACCCUUGUCGUUAGUUGCGACCACGUAAUGGUGAGCACUUUAGCGAGACUGCCAAUGAAAAAUUGGAGGAAGGUGAGGAUUACGUCAAAUCAUCAUGCCCCUUAUGAUCUGGGCUACAAACGUGAUACAAUGGCUGUUACAAAGAGUAGCUACAACGUGAGUUUUUAGCCAAUCUCAAAAAAACAGUCUCAGUUCGGAUUGAAGUCUGCAACUCGACUUCAUGAAGUUGGAAUCGCUAGUAAUCGCGAAUCAGCAUGUCGCGGUGAAUACGUUCUCGGGGUUUGUACACACCGCCCGUCAAACCACGAAAGUUGAUAAUACCCGAAAGCGGUCGCCUAACUUCGUCAGAAGAGGGAGCCGUCUAAGGUAGGAUCGAUGAUUGGGGUUAAGUCGUAACAAGGUAUCCCUACCGGAAGGUGGGGAUGGAUCA
rnacentral:rRNA from 1 species